CCGCGCGGCAACGCAGGGGCGGAACCGCAUGACUGGCAGUGGCAUCAGCGAUGGCGGCUGCGUCGGGGUCGGUUCUGCAGCGCUGUAUCGUGUCGCCGGCAGGGAGGCAUAGCGCCUCUCUGAUCUUCCUGCAUGGCUCAGGUGGAUUUCAAUUUUACGUCCUGGUUUUCUACAGCUCGGGAAACAUCCUCCCCUCGGUUACCCCAGUAUUGCCCAAGUGGAGGUGUCGCCGGGCCCAAAUAGGGCCCAGUGGGUGGCUCCCCCGUCGCCAGCCCCGGCUGUAGAUGCACGGGCAGCGCCACCUGCCCCCAGCCUCCCCCGUUAGUCUUCCUCUUUCUAUCGGGCGGUCACUGGUCCACCACCCUCGCUUUGGGGCCUUGUGUCCCGCCGCUCAGCCAGCCCUCCAUCCCCACAACACACCUCCCCAUUCCUCGCCCCAAGUUUAAACAGAGCAAGUUAGUAAGGUAAGUCUUCUGCUAGAGGGAAAUUUCAAUAUGUAGAAAUCACAAGCAUUCCUAUACACCAACAGUAGGCAAGCAGAGAGCUAAAUCAUGAAUGAACUCCCAUGCACAAUUGCUACAAAGAGAAUAAAAUACUUAUUUGUUAAGCCUCUUUUGGGUUUAUGAGAAUAAAAUUUCUUUUUGGAAGAUAUGUUGACUUAUGAAAUUAUAAAAUCUAAGAUUUAUUAAUUUCAUAUUAUAAUAUAUAAUAUACCAAAUUAAAGUGGGGGUAAAAACAUUUUUUGUGAGAUGAGCUAAUUAAUGUCUAUAAAGCCUCUUUUUUCUACAUUGAGAUACAGAAAGAGACCACAAAAGUGCAAAGGCAGUCAUGUUUGUUUUUGUUAACUGUAUAGUUCUUUAACCAGCCAGUGAAAAUAAAUCUUCACUAAGUUUUAUGGAAUUAUACACAUGCCACAAAACACACGUUUCUUGACCUCUUAUACUGUGACAAAACAUUAGUGCUAUUACCCCACUUUUCAUAUGCUGGAUUCUUCACAUACGUUAGUUAUUGAUUCAUAG
rnacentral:lncRNA from 1 species